rnacentral:rRNA from 1 species
UACGUAGGGACCGAGCGUUGUCCGGAAUCAUUGGGCGUAAAGAGCGUGUAGGCGGCUCGCUAAGUCUUGCGUGAAAUCUCGGGGCUCAACCCCGAGCGGUCGUGAGAAACUGGCGGGCUAGAGUGCGGGAGAGGAGAGUGGAAUUCCUGGUGUAGCGGUGAAAUGCGCAGAUAUCAGGAGGAACACCGAUGGCGAAGGCAGGUCUCUGGGCCACUACUGACGCUGAGAAGCGAAAGCAUGGGGAGCGAACAGG